UACGGAGGGUGCAAGCGUUGCUCGGAAUUAUUGGGCGUAAAGGGUAGGUAGGUGGUCUUAUUUGUCUGGGGUGAAGCCUUGAGCUUAACUCAAGAAGUGCCCCAGAAACGGUGAGACUAGAGUCUUGGAGAGGGUCGUGGAAUUCCCGGUGUAGCGGUGAAAUGCGUAGAGAUCGGGAAGAACAUCAGUGGCGAAGGCGGCCUGCUGGGCUGUUGCUGACGCUGAGGCGCGACAGCGUGGGGAGCAAACAGG
rnacentral:rRNA from 1 species